UUCCCCGGAGUUUUAUCCAUGAGCUCCAGGGAUGAAACGCUGGCGGGCGUGCUUAACACAUUGCAAGUCGAACGAUGAUUUUCCAGCCUUGCUGGGGGGGAUUAGUGGCGAAACGGGGUGAGUAACACGUGAGUAGACCUGCCCUUGACUCUGGGGAUAAGCCUGGGAAACUGGGUUCUAAUUCCGGAUAUGACUUCUCAUCGCAUGGUGGGGGGUGGAAAGCUUUUUGUGGUUUUGGAUGGACUCGCGGCCUAUCAGCUUGUUGGUGGGGUAAUGGCCUACCAAGGCGACGACGGGUAGCCGGCCUGAGAGGGUGACCGGCCACACUGGGACUGAGACACGGCCCAGACUCCUACGGGAGGCAGCAGUGGGGAAUAUUGCACAAUGGGCGCAAGCCUGAUGCAGCGACGCCGCGUGAGGGAUGACGGCCUUCGGGUUGUAAACCUCUUUCAGUAGGGAAGAAGCCCUCUUUGGGGGUGACGGUACUUGCAGAAGAAGCGCCGGCUAACUACGUGCCAGCAGCCGCGGUAAUACGUAGGGCGCAAGCGUUAUCCGGAAUUAUUGGGCGUAAAGAGCUCGUAGGCGGUUUGUCGCGUCUGCUGUGAAAGACCGGGGCUCAACUCCGGUUCUGCAGUGGGUACGGGCAGACUAGAGUGCAGUAGGGGAGACUGGAAUUCCUGGUGUAGCGGUGAAAUGCGCAGAUAUCAGGAGGAACACCGAUGGCGAAGGCAGGUCUCUGGGCUGUAACUGACGCUGAGGAGCGAAAGCAUGGGGAGCGAACAGGAUUAGAUACCCUGGUAGUCCAUGCCGUAAACGUUGGGCACUAGGUGUGGGGGACAUUCCACGUUUUCCGCGCCGUAGCUAAACGCAAGAAAGAGCCCCCGGGCUCUGGAAGGAA
rnacentral:rRNA from 1 species